rnacentral:rRNA from 1 species
AGAGUUUGAUCCUGGCUCAGGACGAACGCUGGCGGCGUGCCUAACACAUGCAAGUCGAACGGAACUUUUUUAAUUGAUUUCUUCGGAAUGAUUUUGAUUAAGUUUAGUGGCGGACGGGUGAGUAACGCGUGAGUAACCUGCCUCUGAGAGGGGAAUAACAUUCUGAAAAGAAUGCUAAUACCGCAUAACAUAUAUUUAUCGCAUGGUAGAUAUAUCAAAGAUUUAUCGCUCAGAGAUGGACUCGCGUCCGAUUAGUUAGUUGGUGAGGUAACGGCUCACCAAGACCACGAUCGGUAGCCGGACUGAGAGGUUGAACGGCCACAUUGGGACUGAGACACGGCCCAGACUCCUACGGGAGGCAGCAGUGGGGGAUAUUGCGCAAUGGGGGCAACCCUGACGCAGCAACGCCGCGUGAAGGAUGAAGGUCUUCGGAUUGUAAACUUCUUUUAUUAAGGACGAAUAAAGUGACGGUACUUAAUGAAUAAGCUCCGGCUAACUACGUGCCAGCAGCCGCGGUAAUACGUAGGGAGCAAGCGUUGUCCGGAUUUACUGGGUGUAAAGGGUGCGUAGGCGGCUUUGCAAGUCAGAUGUGAAAUCUAUGGGCUCAACCCAUAGCCUGCAUUUGAAACUGUAGAGCUUGAGUGAAGUAGAGGCAGGCGGAAUUCCCCGUGUAGCGGUGAAAUGCGUAGAGAUGGGGAGGAACACCAGUGGCGAAAGGCGGCCUGCUGGGCUUCAACUGACAUUGAGGCUCGAAAGUGUGGGUAUCAAACAGGAUUAGAUACCCUGGUAGUCCACACGGUAAACGAUGAAUACUCGCUGUUUGCGAUAUACGGCAAGCGGCCAAGCGAAAGCGUUAAGUAUUCCACCUGGGGAGUACGCCGGCACGGUGAAACUCAAGGAAUUGACGGGGCCCGCACAGCGAGGAACAUGUGGUUUAUUCGAUGAUACGCGAGACUACCGGGCUAAUGCAGAAUGAAUACGUGAAGCGUAGCCGCAGCAUCUGUGAGGUGCUGCAUGAUGUCGUCAGCUCCGGGCGUGAGGGUGUCGCUAAUGCCAUAACAGAGCGCAACCCUGUGUGUGCCGAUAUAUACAGGUUCUUCGCGUGAGAGACCUGGACAAGACUGCAAUCGGUAAAUGUGAGGAAGGUGGGGAUGACGUCAAAUCAGCACGGCCCUUACGUCCGGGGCUACACACGUGUUACAAUGGGGGGUACAGAGGGCCGCUACCACGCGAGUGGAUGCCAAUCCCAAAAACCUCUCUCAGUUCGGACUGGAGUCUGCAACCCGACUCCACGAAGCUGGAUUCGCUAGUAAUCGCGCAUCAGCCACGGCGCGGUGAAUACGUUCCCGGGCCUUGCACACACCGCCCGUC